AUGAACGCUGGCGGCGUGCUUAACACAUGCAAGUCGAACGAUUAAGGCGGCUUCGGCCGCGUAUAGAGUGGCGAACGGGUGAGUAACACGUGACCAACCUGCCCCGCGCUCCGGGACAACCGCUGGAAACGGCGGCUAAUACCGGAUGCUCCGGGGAGGCCCCAUGGCCUCCCCGGGAAAGCCCCGACGGCGCGGGAUGGGGUCGCGGCCCAUUAGGUAGACGGCGGGGUAACGGCCCACCGUGCCCGCGAUGGGUAGCCGGACUGAGAGGUCGACCGGCCACAUUGGGACUGAGAUACGGCCCAGACUCCUACGGGAGGCAGCAGUGGGGAAUUUUGCGCAAUGGGGGAAACCCUGACGCAGCAACGCCGCGUGCGGGACGAAGGCCUUCGGGUUGUAAACCGCUUUCAGCAGGGAAGACAUAGACGGUACCUGCAGAAGAAGCUCCGGCUAACUACGUGCCAGCAGCCGCGGUAAUACGUAGGGGGCGAGCGUUAUCCGGAUUCAUUGGGCGUAAAGCGCGCGUAGGCGGCCGCCUAAGCGGAACCUCUAAUCCCGGGGCUCAACCUCGGGCCGGGUUCCGGACUGGGCGGCUCGAGUGCGGUAGAGGCAGGCGGAAUUCCCGGUGUAGCGGUGGAAUGCGCAGAUAUCGGGAAGAACACCGAUGGCGAAGGCAGCCUGCUGGGCCGCCACUGACGCUGAGGCGCGAAAGCUGGGGGAGCGAACAGGAUUAGAUACCCUGGUAGUCCCAGCCGUAAACGAUGGAUACUAGGUGUGGGGGGACCAUCCCCCCGUGCCGCAGCCAACGCAUUAAGUAUCCCGCCUGGGGAGUACGGCCGCAAGGCUAAAACUCAAAGGAAUUGACGGGGGCCCGCACAAGCAGCGGAGCAUGUGGCUUAAUUCGAAGCAACGCGAAGAACCUUACCAGGUCUUGACAUCCACUUAAACUUACAGAGAUGUAAGGUGUGCUUGCACAAAGUGAGACAGGUGGUGCAUGGUUGUCGUCAGCUCGUGUCGUGAGAUGUUGGGUUAAGUCCCGCAACGAGCGCAACCCCCGUCCCGUGUUGCCAGCAUUGAGUUGGGGACUCGCGGGAGACUGCCGGCGUCAAGCCGGAGGAAGGUGGGGACGACGUCAAGUCAUCAUGCCCCUUAUGCCCUGGGCUGCACACGUGCUACAAUGGCCGGUACAGAGGGUUGCCACCCCGCGAGGGGGAGCGGAUCCCGGAAAGCCGGUCCCAGUUCGGAUCGCAGGCUGCAACCCGCCUGCGUGAAGUCGGAGUUGCUAGUAAUCGCGGAUCAGCAUGCCGCGGUGAAUACGUUCCCGGGCCUUGUACACACCGCCCGUCACACCACCCGAGUCGUCUGCACCCGAAGCCGCCGGCCGAACCCUUACGGGGCGGAGGCGUCGAAGGUGUGGAGGGUAAGGGGGGUG
rnacentral:rRNA from 1 species